AUUGAACGCUGGCGGCAGGCCUAACACAUGCAAGUCGAGCGGAGCGGCGGACGGGUGAGUAAUGCCUAGGAAUCUGCCUGGCCGUGAGGGAUGACGUCAGGUAACGGGCGCAAUACCGCAUACUUUCUGCUGUGCCUUGGUCGGUUAAGCUAGUUGGUGGGGUAAAGGCUUACAAAGCCGACGUUCCGUAACUGGUCUGAGAGGAUGAUCAGUCACACUGGAACUGAGACACGGUCCAGACUCCUACGGGAGGCAGCAGUGGGGAAUAUUGGACAAUGGGCGAAAGCCUGAUGCAGCCAUGCCGCGUGUGUGAAGAAGGUCUUCGGAUUGUAAAGCACUGUAAGUUGGGAGGCGUUACCAACAGAAUAAGCACCGGCUAACUACGUGCCAGCAGCCGCGGUAAUAC
rnacentral:rRNA from 1 species